rnacentral:rRNA from 1 species
GACGAACGCUGGCGGCGUGCCUAAUACAUGCAAGUAGAACGCUGAAGAGAGGAGCUUGCUCUUCUUGGAUGAGUUGCGAACGGGUGAGUAACGCGUAGGUAACCUGCCUUGUAGCGGGGGAUAACUAUUGGAAACGAUAGCUAAUACCGCAUAACAAUGGAUGACCCAUGUCAUUUAUUUGAAAGGGGCAAAUGCUCCACUACAAGAUGGACCUGCGUUGUAUUAGCUAGUAGGUGAGGUAACGGCUCACCUAGGCGACGAUACAUAGCCGACCUGAGAGGGUGAUCGGCCACACUGGGAAUGAGACACGGCCCAGGCUCCGACGGGAGGCAGCAGUAGGGAAUCGUCGGCAAUGGGGGCAACCCUGACCGAGCAACGCCGCGUGAGUGAAGAAGGUUGUCGGAUCGGAAAGCUCUGUUGUAAGUCAAGAACGAGUGUGAGAGUGGAAAGUGCACACUGUGACGGUAGCUUACCAGAAAGGGACGGCUAACUACGUG